rnacentral:rRNA from 1 species
AGAGUUUGAUCAUGGCUCAGAACGUACGCUGGCGGCACGCCUAACACAUGCAAGUCGAACGAAGUAGCAAUACUUAGUGGCAGACGGGUGAGUAACAUGUGGGUAUCUGCCCUUUGGCCUGGAAUAACACGAGGAAACUUGUGCUAAUACCGGAUAAGUCUUUACGGAGAAAGCUUUAUGCACCAUUGGAUGAGCCCGCACUUGAUUAGUUAGUUGGUAGGGUAAUGGCCUACCAAGACUGUGAUCAAUAGCUGAUUUGAGAGGAUGAUCAGCCACAUUGGGACUGAGACACGGCCCAAACUCCUACGGGAGGCAGCAGUGGGGAAUCUUGCACAAUGGAGGAAACUCUGAUGCAGCGAUGCCGCGUGAGUGAAGAAGGCCCUUGGGUUGUAAAGCUCUUUCGUCGGGGAAGAAAAUGACUGUACCCGAAUAAGAAGGUCCGGCUAACUUCGUGCCAGCAGCCGCGGUAAUACGAAGGGACCUAGCGUAGUUCGGAAUUACUGGGCUUAAAGAGUUCGUAGGUGGUUGAAAAAGUUGGUGGUGAAAUCCCAGAGCUUAACUCUGGAACUGCCAUCAAAACUUUUCAGCUAGAGUAUGAUAGAGGAAAGCAGAAUUUCUAGUGUAGAGGUGAAAUUCGUAGAUAUUAGAAAGAAUACCAAUUGCGAAGGCAGCUUUCUGGAUCAUUACUGACACUGAGGAACGAAAGCAUGGGGUAGCGAAGAGGAUUAGAUACCCUCGUAGUCCAUGCCGUAAACGAUGUGUGUUAGACGUUGGAG